rnacentral:rRNA from 1 species
CCCUUAGAUGUUCUGGGCCGCACACGCGCUACACUGAAGGAGGCAGCGUGUACUCCUGGAUCGAAAGAUUUGGGUAACCCGCGAAUCUCCUUCGUGCUAGGGAUUGAGGUUUGCAAUUAUCCUUCAUGAACGAGGAAUUCCCAGUAAGUGCAAGUCAUAAGCUUGCGCUGACUACGUCCCUGCCCUUUGUACACACCGCCCGUCGCUACUACCGAUUGAAUGAUUUAGUGAGGACUUCGGACUGGGACCGAUGGGGCUUUCGGGCUGCGUCGGUAUUCUGGAAAGAUGUCCAAACUGUAUCAUUUAGAGGAAGUAAAAGUCGUAACA